GCAAGUCGAACGAGUUCUGAUUAUUGAAAGGUGCUUGCAUCUUGAUUUAAUUUUGAACGAGUGGCGGACGGGUGAGUAACACGUGGGUAACCUGCCCUUAAGUGGGGGAUAACAUUUGGAAACAGAUGCUAAUACCGCAUAAAUCCAAGAACCGCAUGGUUCUUGGCUGAAAGAUGGCGUAAGCUAUCGCUUUUGGAUGGACCCGCGGCGUAUUAGCUAGUUGGUGAGGUAACGGCUCACCAAGGCAAUGAUACGUAGCCGAACUGAGAGGUUGAUCGGCCACAUUGGGACUGAGACACGGCCCAAACUCCUACGGGAGGCAGCAGUAGGGAAUCUUCCACAAUGGACGCAAGUCUGAUGGAGCAACGCCGCGUGAGUGAAGAAGGCUUUCGGGUCGUAAAACUCUGUUGUUGGAGAAGAAUGGUCGGCAGAGUAACUGUUGUCGGCGUGACGGUAUCCAACCAGAAAGCCACGGCUAACUACGUGCCAGCAGCCGCGGUAAUACGUAGGUGGCAAGCGUUAUCCGGAUUUAUUGGGCGUAAAGCGAGCGCAGGCGGGUUUUUUAAGUCUGAUGUGAAAGCCCUCGGCUUAACCGAGGAAGUGCAUCGGAAACUGGGAAACUUGAGUGCAGAAGAGGACAGUGGGAACUCCAUGUGUAGCGGUGAAAUGCGUAGAUAUAUGGAAGAACACCAGUGGCGAAGGCGGCUGUCUGGUCUGUAACUGACGCUGAGGCUCGAAAGCAUGGGUAGCGAACAGGAUUAGAUACCCUGGUAGUCCAUGCCGUAAACGAUGAAUGCUAGGUGUUGGAGGGUUUCCGCCCUUCAGUGCCGCAGCUAACGCAUUAAGCAUUCCGCCUGGGGAGUACGACCGCAAGGUUGAAACUCAAAGGAAUUGACGGGGGCCCGCACAAGCGGUGGAGCAUGUGGUUUAAUUCGAAGCAACGCGAAGAACCUUACCAGGUCUUGACAUCUUUUGAUCACCUGAGAGAUCAGGUUUCCCCUUCGGGGGCAAAAUGACAGGUGGUGCAUGGUUGUCGUCAGCUCGUGUCGUGAGAUGUUGGGUUAAGUCCCGCAACGAGCGCAACCCUUAUGACUAGUUGCCAGCAUUUAGUUGGGCACUCUAGUAAGACUGCCGGUGACAAACCGGAGGAAGGUGGGGAUGACGUCAAAUCAUCAUGCCCCUUAUGACCUGGGCUACACACGUGCUACAAUGGAUGGUACAACGAGUUGCGAGACCGCGAGGUCAAGCUAAUCUCUUAAAGCCAUUCUCAGUUCGGACUGUAGGCUGCAACUCGCCUACACGAAGUCGGAAUCGCUAGUAAUCGCGGAUCAGCACGCCGCGGUGAAUACGUUCCCGGGCCUUGUACACACCGCCCGUCACACCAUGAGAGUUUGUAACACCCGAAGCCGGUGGCGUAACCCUUUUAGGGAGCGAGCC
rnacentral:rRNA from 1 species